rnacentral:rRNA from 1 species
GAUGAACGCUGACAGAAUGCUUAACACAUGCAAGUCAACCUGUGGCUGACGGGUGAGUAACGCGUAAAGAACUUGCCUCCCAGUUAUGGACAACAUUUGGAAACGAAUUCUAAUACCGGAUACUGGGAGAGAGGUUUGGGUCCCAUUAGCGAGUUGGAGAGGUAACGGCUCACCAAUGCGAGGAUGGGUAGCCGGCCUGGGAGGGUGAUCGGCCACAAGGGCAUUGAGACGCCGCCGUUAGUCAUACGGGUGGCAGCAGUGGGGAAGAUUGGCCAACGGGCCAAAGUCUGAUCCAGGAAUUCUGUGUGCAAGAUGAAGUUUUCGGGAGGUAAAGUGGUUUUAGAUGGGAAGCGGUACCCACAGAAGAAGGGACGGCUAACUACGUGCCAGCCGCCGCGGUAAUAC